rnacentral:rRNA from 1 species
UCCCGGGGCUCAACCUCGGAACUGCAUUUGAUACUGGGUAACUUGAGUACUGGAGGGGAGACUGGAAUUUACGGUGUAGCAGUGAAAUGCGUAGAUAUCGUAAGGAAGACCAGUGGCGAAGGCGAGUCUCUGGACAGUUACUGACGCUGAGGCACGAAGGCCAGGGGAGCAAACGGGAUUAGAUACCCCGGUAGUCCUGGCAGUAAACGGUGCACGUUUGGUGUAGGGGGGAUUCGACCCCUUCCGCGCCGGAGCUAACGCGUUAAACGUGCCGCCUGGGAGUACGGUCGCAAGAUUAAAACUCAAAGAAAUUGACGGGGGCCCGCACAAGCGGUGGAGUAUGUGGCUUAAUUCGAUGCAACGCGAAGAACCUUACCUGGCCUUGACAUGCAUCUCUAAGUUGGUGAAAGCCAGCGAGUGUCGAAAGACACAAUUUGCACAGGUGCUGCAUGGCUGUCGUCAGCUCGUGUCGUGAGAUGUUCGGGUUAAGUCCCGCAACGAGCGCAACCCCUGUGAACUGUUGCCACUCUCUUUAUUGAGAAGCACUCUGUUCAGACUGCCCUGUGAAACGGGGAG